CCUACGGGAGGCAGCAGUGGGGAAUAUUGCACAAUGGGGGAAACCCUGAUGCAGCGACGCCGCGUGAGUGAAGAAGUAUUUCGGUAUGUAAAGCUCUAUCAGCAGGGAAGAAAUAAAGGCCUUCGGACUUUGGACGGUACCUGACUAAGAAGCCCCGGCUAACUACGUGCCAGCAGCCGCGGUAAUACGUAGGGGGCAAGGGUUAUACGGAUUUACUGGGUGUAAAGGGAGCGUAGACGGCAGCGCAAGUCGGGAGUGAAAUCCCAUGGCUUAACCAUGGAACUGCUUUGGAAACUGUGCAGCUGGAGUGCAGGAGAGGUAGCGGAAUUCCUAGUGUAGCGGUGAAAUGCGUAGAUAUUAGGAGGAACACCAGUGGCGAAGGCGGCUUACUGGACUGUAACUGACGUUGAGGCUCGAAAGCGUGGGGAGCAAACAGGAUUAGAUACCCUGGUAGUC
rnacentral:rRNA from 1 species